rnacentral:snoRNA from 1 species
AUCAUUGUUUGUAUUAGAAAAAGCUUGGACACAACCCAAACUUCCCACAAUAAAGCUCUGUUCUUCAUGUGGAUGACUCUGUGCGAAAGCAUGGGAAUAGCC